UCUCCAUUAUUUGGUUUGCUUACAAUUGACAUCACAUGUUAUAAGGUUCGACUGGAAGCCUGUCUACUGGUCUGAUUCUCCUUUUCUUGCAGUUAAUUUCUGCAACUGAUUGGCACAGGCAGUCAACGGACCGUCCAAUCAAGUUCAUUACAAGAAGGCAACUGUACGCACUCAAGUUCAAGAUUAAAACAGGCGAACUGUUUUGACUACAUUGGACAUUUAACUCGGUAAUUUAUCAAGGAUUAGAGAAACAAAUGGCUAAAAUCGACAUGGCUUUCGACUAGGUCUUGAGGCUGGGGGCGAGGACGGCCGGACGAAAAAGCAGGACCUAACAGACUUUGUUGAAGUUGAAGAAUAGUUAUUUUGCAGCUAGCGAUGCCCAGUUACACGAUGGAGAUAUGUGUAGGACUCUCUGCAAUUUGGCAAUUUUCCCCAAAUUAGGCCUGGAAGCAAAUCUGGAAUUUGUGCUCUGUGUUCAUUGCUUGUGGCCCUGGAAAUAACUAAGCACAUAGUUCAGCAAUGCUCAGGAUGUAGUUAAAUUCGCCUGGCAAUAACUGGAGGAUUCUGUUCUUCUUAAGUUUGAAAAGGCUUGAUCUGCUCUUGUAGAUAGCCUCAGAAGAGUCGAAGACAUUGUCCCACCCCCGCAGUCUAUCAGUUGUCACAGAUUGGACACUGUCGCCGAACUGGAGGCUGUUGUAUUCUCGCUUGAUGUGCAGGAGAAGCAAGUUGGCGAGGAAAUAAUUGCAUUGCUCCAGCAAGGAAGAAAAUUUAAUGACUCUGACUGCAACGAACUCGAGUCUUUCCGAGUAGCAGGUACUAAACUUGGAAUCACCUCUUCCAGAAACUGAUUGAAAGAGCUAGAGCAGAGGAAGACAAGCGAAAAGCAAUCAAUUGUGGCUCA